rnacentral:lncRNA from 1 species
UUUUUCUCUCUCCUCAUUUAAACAGGAUAGCCACUGAGCAAGCCUGUAAGGCUAUUGGUCUGCCCAUUCUGGUUUCUUCACCAAUGAGAAAACUGGGACCUGGGGAGUUUGCAGAAGCCAUCCAAGGGCACCUGCUUCUCACAGCACAGCAGCUUCCUGCAGCCCUCCCUCCUGUCUUGUUUCUCCCUUAAUUGAGAGGAGAGGCCAGAACCAGAUGCAGGCAGUUCCAACAGUAAUGAAUUGCUCUAAGGUGUGGAUCCAAGAACCGGUGACAAGGUCAGGAAAUUCCAUCCCGGGACACUGACCCAACUAAGAGACUGUGCAUGAUGGCUAAGUUCAGAGCUCUGAGGAGAUGGUAAAACUCAUUUGCAACGAAACAAGAUAUUUUCCAACUCUGCAGCCAGCUCCUCUUCCCCUCAGGCUGUGAGUGGAUGCAGCCUGAGUCCUCCCCAGAAGCAGAUCCUGGCGCCAUGCUUUCUGUACAGCCUGCAAAACUGUGCAGAAAGCUGGAAGUGAUGCUCCAGGGAGUUUAUGUCUCCCCAUCUUGACCCACACCAAUACCUGAGGCUCGUUG